rnacentral:rRNA from 1 species
CCCUUAGAUGUUCUGGGCCGCACGCGCGCUACACUGACGAAUGCAACGAGCUUAUAACCUUGGCCGAAAGGUCUGGGUAAUCUCCAAAUUUCGUCGUGAUGGGGAUAGAUUAUUGCAAUUAUUAAUCUUCAACGAGGAAUGCCUAGUAAGCGCAAGUCAUCAGCUUGCGUUGAUUACGUCCCUGCCCUUUGUACACACCGCCCGUCGCUCCUACCGAUUGAAUGGUCCGGUGAAGCGUUCGGACCGUUGCCUUUGGACGGUUCGCCGUCUGUUGGCUGCGGGAAGUUCGUUAAACCUUAUCAUUUAGAGGAAGGAGAAGUCGUANCA